rnacentral:tRNA from 1 species
GGGUUUGUAGCUUAAUUGGUAGAGCAGCAGACUUUUAAUCUGACGGUCGCGGGUUCAAAUCCCGUCAAGCCCA